rnacentral:rRNA from 1 species
AUUGAACGCUGGCGGCAUGCUUUACACAUGCAAGUCGAACGGUAACAGGCCUUCGGGCGCUGACGAGUGGCGAACGGGUGAGUAAUGCAUCGGAACGUGCCCAGUCGUGGGGGAUAACUAUCCGAAAGGAUAGCUAAUACCGCAUACGAUCUGCGGAUGAAAGCGGGGGACCUUCGGGCCUCGCGCGAUUGGAGCGGCCGAUGUCAGAUUAGGUAGUUGGUGGGGUAAAGGCUCACCAAGCCAACGAUCUGUAGCUGGUCUGAGAGGACGACCAGCCACACUGGGACUGAGACACGGCCCAGACUCCUACGGGAGGCAGCAGUGGGGAAUUUUGGACAAUGGGCGCAAGCCUGAUCCAGCAAUGCCGCGUGCAGGAAGAAGGCCUUCGGGUUGUAAACUGCUUUUGUACGGAACGAAACGGCCCUGGUUAAUACCUGGGGCUAAUGACGGUACCGUAAGAAUAAGCACCGGCUAACUACGUGCCAGCCGCCGCGGUAAAAC